CCUACGGGGGGCAGCAGUCGAGAAUCAUUCACAAUGGGGGAAACCCUGAUGGUGCGACGCCGCGUGGGGGAAUGAAGGUCUUCGGAUUGUAAACCCCUGUCAUGUGGGAGCAAAUUAAAAAGAUCGUACCACAAGAGGAAGAGACGGCUAACUCUGUGCCAGCAGCCGCGGUAAUACAGAGGUCUCAAGCGUUGUUCGGAAUCACUGGGCGUAAAGCGUGCGUAGGCUGUUUCGUAAGUCGUGUGUGAAAGGCGCGGGCUCAACCCGCGGACGGCACAUGAUACUGCGAGACUAGAGUAAGGGAGGGGGAACCGGAAUUCUCGGUGUAGCAGUGAAAUGCGUAGAUAUCGAGAGGAACACUCGUGGCGAAGGCGGGUUCCUGGACAUUAACUGACGCUGAGGCACGAAGGCCAGGGGAGCGAAAGGGAUUAGAUACCCCGGUAGUC
rnacentral:rRNA from 1 species